rnacentral:lncRNA from 1 species
GGCGGGGUUAAACAUGUUAGCAGGAUUAUGUAUUGAAGUGAAACUUCUAAAACAAAUUUAAUGUACACUGUUCUCUUUGAAGUGUUUGUAGUUGUGCACCACGGUUUCAUUUUUUUUUUCUCUUGGGUGUCUACGGCAGUGGUGAUUUAUGACAUCUGCAACUCCGCACUAACCAUUCUAUCUUAUACAAGGCAUACUUUUUUUUUUUUACAUCUAAACUGUUUGUGCACUAUCACAUUUGAUCUGUAGGGUAGGUUGCAGGGUUAUUAGAUACCUUUUUUUGUCAUACACAGUAUGGAACAAUUUGAUCAAAUAAAAAUAGUAAUAGUUCAGAGCAAGUUCCUGAUUUAGAGAUUUGAUAUUACGGGAUUGACAAGACAUUUCAAAUUGCACAUUGUAUAAUCAAUCAUUAAAACACCCUGGAGAUUAC